rnacentral:rRNA from 1 species
AGAGUUUGAUCAUGGCUCAGAACGAACGCUGGCGGCAGGCCUCAAACAUGCAAGUCUAGGGGACGUAGCAAUACGUCACCGGCGGACGGGUGCGUAACACGUGGGAAUGUACUGAGUGGUUCGGAACAACUGCGGGAAACUGCAGCUAAUACCGAAUGAGCCCGAAAGGGGAAAGAUUUAUCGCCAUUCAAUCAGCCCGCGUUCGAUUAGCUAGUUGGUGAGGUAACGGCUCACCAAGGCUCCGAUCGAUAGCUGUUCUGAGAGGAAGAUCAGCCACACUGGGACUGAGACACGGCCCAGACUCCUACGGGAGGCAGCAGUUGGGAAUCUUGCGCAAUGGUCGAAAGACUGACGCAGCGACGCCGCGUGUGGGAGGAAGCCUUUCGGGGUGUAAACCACUGUUGCCCGGGACGAACAGCCUUUUUCGAGAGGCCUGACGGUACCGGGUGAGGAAGCACCGGCUAACUCCGUGCCAGCCGCCGCGGUAAUAC